rnacentral:rRNA from 1 species
UACGAAGGGUGCAAGCGUUACUCGGAAUUACUGGGCGUAAAGCGUGCGUAGGUGGUGGUUUAAGUCUGUUGUGAAAGCCCUGGGCUCAACCUGGGAAUUGCAGUGGAUACUGGAUUACUAGAGUGUGGUAGAGGGUAGCGGAAUUCCCGGUGUAGCAGUGAAAUGCGUAGAGAUCGGGAGGAACAUCCGUGGCGAAGGCGGCUACCUGGACCAACACUGACACUGAGGCACGAAAGCGUGGGGAGCAAACAGG